GCGCGAAUUGUAUAUUUUUCAAAGGCAUGCGCUCGGAUUGCAAAUCCGUGUACACCAGUUCGAUUCUGGUACUCGCCUCCA
rnacentral:tRNA from 1 species